UUCUUAGUUUUCUGCCCCUUUUUUGGUUUGAGUGGUAAUGUGCAGUGAAUCUAUAUUCUUUAUUGUCAUCUUUUAUUUAUUUGGUGGCUCGACCAAGCUACAGUGACAAAAUGGUUUUACUUUUGUCGAGAGUUCAAGAUGUUGAAGAUAUUUUGGCAUGUUUUAAAUUCCAUGCCGACUGGAGAUUAUUUUGCAUUUCCUUGUAGCUUGUGGAGGCUCUUUAGAUUGGCUAUUACUUUUUAUGUGAAGGGCAUUUAUGGAGUUUUGUUGCAUGUAGGCCACAAAAUAGGAGAUAUCUUCCAAAAACAGAUACAAAAUCAAGUUAUUGAUUUGAAAACUUCGGUUCAGAAGAGCUCUUCCUGGAUGAACUCACGAAGGAGGCCUUAUAUCAAGAGAAAGAGCGUACCGAGUGCACAAGGCUCCAGCUACUGCGGGUUCUGGGGGGGUCAUAAUGUAUGGACCCUUAACUCCUACGUCGCAGAGGGCUGUUUCUUUACUCAAAUCCACAACUACUAGGCCCGCCAUCUAAGGAGGGCUUAUAUCAGGAGUUGGAAUCAGAAUUUCAUGCCCAUCCAGUAGAUCUUCAAUGUAGGCAAGGUAUUGGAAUUUACAUAUUUGAUCCAAUACUUUGCUUCUUAGACACACUAUAGAUCAACACUUUUUGUACACAAUGACCAGUUGGGUUUAACCUUGUUGAUCAGUAUGUUUAAGCUGUGUGUGAAUUAGCUAUGCCAUGAGUUAUUCUACUCCCUUUAUUGCCCAUUUGAAUCAAAAUUAGCGUAACAAUACUGAAAUGGAUGUGAAGGAAUUCAGGAACAAAAUAGAGAAGUAAUAGAAGCUGCGGAAACAUCUAUUAUGGUGGUAUAACUUCAAGACAUAGUUUCCUCAUCUCCCCACCCCUCCUUCCCUUUUUUUUGGUCUUAUGGGAUUUCUAUAGUGUCUUUCUCAUAGGUCUCUUUGCUGCAUUAGGCCUUAGGCUUUAUCUUUUGUGUUUAGUCUAUGUUGAAAAUAAGAAGAGUAUAUUGAUUGGGUUUAGAGAUUGCAAGAAUGAUCCCCAUAUGGUCAUUAUUGACCUAGAAAAAUCCUUUGACAGUCCCUAGAAAGUUAAUCUGGCAAGUACUGGAGAAAAGAAGUGUUUUAAGUAAGUACGUGGACACGAUUAAAGAUAUGUAUGAUGAUUUAGUGACUAAUGUAAGAACUGUAGGGGUUAAGGUAGUGAAUUUCCAAUUGCAAUUAGGUUACAUGAAGUAUCAGCUUUAAGCCUUUAUUUGUUUGCGCUUAUCAUGGAUGAUUUAACUAGAGACAUUCCAGAUGAGGUUCCUUGGUGUAUGCUUUUUGGUGAUGAUAUUGUUUCGGGGGAUGAGACAAAAUAAGGAUUGACGCCAAGUUGGAGUUAUGGAGAUCAACCAUGGAUCAAAAUGUUUUAAGAUAAAUAGAACAAAGAUGGAGUAUAUGGUGUGUAAUUAUGACAGAUAAUGAGGGGAAAGUUGAUAAGAGGGAGAUUCCGCAAAGUGAUUAUUCUCGGUAUCUAGGCUCAAUCAUAAAUAAAGGAGGUGAUAUAGGAUGAUGUUUCAUAGAAAAUUAAAAUAGAAUGGAUGAAGUGGAGAGGUGUGUUCGGAGUAUUGUGUGACCUGUUAUGAUGUAUGGUGCGGAAUGUUGGGCAGUUAAGAAGCAUCAUAUAGAUAAACUUAGUGUAGUGGAUAUGAGGAUGUUGAAAGGGAUGUGUGGAACAAUUAGGAAGGAUAAAGUAAAGAAUGAUCAUAUUAGAGCUGAUUUGGGAGUAGCUUCGAUACAUGAUAAGCUAUGAGAAAGUCGUCUGAGGUGGCAUGGGCAUGUUCAAUGGAGGCCUUUGGACGCUGCUAUAAGGAGGGGUGAUUUGAUUUAGAUUGAAGAAACUAAAAGAGCCAGGGGCAGUCCUAAAAUGACUCUAGGGGAAGUGGCCCUCACCCUUUUACCUGGAAAAUGCUUAGAUAUGCUGGGGUUCAUGGCCUUCUCCCUCUUACCUUCCUUCUUUUUUCUUUUGGUGUGGGUGGGUUAGGUAUGGCAAUGGGGCAGGUUAACAGGGGCCCCAACCCCUGCUGCCCCAAAGUGUUGGUCCUGGUGCAAACAAAAUUGGGUCUGGAUAAAAUCUGGGUCUUUAAAAAACCCUGGGGCUCCACCCUGCAUUGCUUUGGGCCUGUGCAGUUGCCUUGUAAACUUUGUAACUCCCAGGCCUGAGUUGAGCAAAUAUUUUAAGUGGGUCAGUUAUGCUUUUGGAGAAACUUGGUUAGUGGUGGGGUUGGGGUUUGAUCCUUGCAGCCUCUUUCUCUCUUAGCCGUUGCAUUGACAUUCAAUCUUGACCAAUGGUUGAUUAUAUUUGCUAUAAGAAUAGAUAGGUAAAACAUGAAGAGGGGUAUAUUUCAUUUUGGGACCCUACUCUACUUUCAACUACCAAGUGGUGUAAUGGGUAUUAUGAGAGGUUUUGCAUCCUUUAGGGUCACAUAAUUACUAUUUAAUAUGUAUGUUGGUCCAGUGUGCACUUCUGGGUUGAGCAUUUUCUGUAGUGUUGUCUAGUUAGGUCUGUUGAGUCCAAUAGUCAGACUGACCUGCUUGGCGGCCAAUCUUGGUUCAAGUUCACCUAGCCUUUUCUGGGUUUUAAACCUUCAUUUGGGCAGAGUCUCUGAUAGGGCUGAUUCAUAUAUAGUUUGGCUUACCUUUUUGUUUUUUUCUUCUUAAGUGUAUCAUGCUCUUUCCUUUUGGGACCAUCUUGUUUUUUAUUCUAAAUUAGUGUUAUAAAUCCAAUUGCAUUUUGACUUUGAAAC